UGGAUUUUCUCAGGGUUUUGUAUGGGACGUAGGAGUAUCAAAAACCUGAAGCUAAGGAUGGAAUAAGGGGGGCUUAUUACUCCCUUCGCAGACCGUAGUUUGAUCAUUGUCCGCUAGGCUGCAGAAAUUUGGUCAUUCAUGGAACUCCAGCCAAUUUGCUCGCGCAAUCGGUGUUUGGAUUAUGAUUUUGAUUUUGCUUGUGAAACGCUGCUAAAUACAAAUAAUUUUUCUAGUUUAAUAUAGCCUACAGCUGUCAAGUCAGUCAGCCCAAGUGAUUUUGCCGAGGACAUUGCCAAGUCUCCUCUUGCCAACGCCAAGGGUUAUGGUACCACUUCUCAGUCGGCUGGUGCAGUGGGGAAGGCAGAGAUAAUUCUGAGAUUCAAGUUCUAGGAGUAGGAGGUGAUGUUGAUGUGCCAAUGGCCUCUGGUGGCAAUGGGUCCAUGCCAGUUCCAGGAGGUGAGAUUUGAGGAGAAUAAGAAAAGUCAUAUUGAGGACUGUUUCGUCAACCAACUUCAAUGGAAAGAAUCGGAGAAGAGGACAGUUGAGAGCAUGCUCAUGGUUUUUGCAGCCAGUUGAUAUUGACGUAAAUCCUGGCUAUCUUGAUAUUGUAACACAGCCAAUGGACUUUAGCACCAUUAAAAGCAAACUGGAGAGUAACCAAUAUUCGUCUAUGGAGGCGUUCGAUAGAGACAUGUUGGUUGUCGAGCAGAACUGCUACUCCUACAACCCUGCAGAUGACCCUAUAGCCUCGGAUUGCAGACAGGUAUUUGCAUUCUACAAGAGGGAAUAUCGGAGAACAUUUAAUCGUUUCCAUAAGGUUGGAACUCCACUCACACGCAAAAGAAAAUUUCCAGUCGGGGAUGUACAGAGAGCACGGAAGGAAGGCAGAGCGAACCUUGCUCAUUCAUCUGCAAUGAAGGUGAUCUCUAAGCAAGUUGACCGCCUGGAUCAGUUCAUCAACGACAAGGAAAACACUUUGAGAGAUCUCAAUGCCGAUAUUUCAUUUAUGGAGCGUCUUAAAGAAGGAGAAGAGGAAGUGGAGAAGAAAUGUCAACGUGUUCAAGUUAAAAAAAAAUGGCUGUGCUGGCGAUUGUGGAGGAUGCAAAUCGACGUGCUCUUCGCCGGGAACGUCUUUUUGUGGACAGAAUUGAUGACCUCCAGCGUUUUGACGAUGUCCGCCUCAUCAAGAGAUACAGAAUGCCGAGGCACGUCAUUCUGGAGGUUCUCCAUUUAAUUGAGGAAGACAUAGCACCAGUAACAACUCGAUCCAGAGCAAUCCAAGCAUCGAUUCAACUGCUCGUGCUCUCCGAUACUUCGCUACGAGACGUUUUCAGACCGACAGUGGAGAUCUUUGCGGAAUCAGCCAACCCAGUGUUUCCAGGAUCGUUAACAGGGUGUCUGGAGCAUUGGAACGUGUUGCCCCUCAUAUCAUAUCUUUUCCAAGGGGUCAAUACCAGGAUGCGGUAAAGGAAGGAUUCUACCGGCCGCGCCACAGGAUUCCGAACGUCGUUGGCUGCGUGGAUGGUAGCUUAGUUCCAAUUAAGUCACCACAUGAACAUGAAGAUGCAUACGUUUGCCGAAAGCAGUUUCAUGCAAUCAAAUGUUCAAGGCAUUUGUGACCACGAAAUGAAGUUCAUCAAUGUAGUUGUUCGCUGGCCUGGCGCUACGCACGACGCAUAUAUAUGGAAUAAUUGUCAAUUGAGUCGGGGAAUUCGAGAACCACCCUGAAAAUGAAGGUUAUCUCCUUGGAGAUUCGGCUAACCCCCUGCACCCGUGGCUGAUGACGCCAAUCAGAAAUCCCCAAGAUGAAGGAGAGGUUCGAUUUAAUGCUCACCAUCGAAGGGCCAGGCAGAAGAUUGAGGCGACUUUCGGACGAUGGAAGAUGAGGUGGCUGUGUCUUCACAGAGAUGGUGGUGCUAUAUAUCGUACGCCAGAUCGGUGUUGCAAGGUGAUCAUCGCCUGUGCUGUGUUGCAUAAUAUAUGUGAGGAGCACGGCC